GACGAACCGUGCGAACGUUAUUCGGAAUCACUGGGCUUAAAGGGCGGGUAGGCGGCCACCGCAAGUCAGUUGUGAAAUCUCUGGGCUUAACCCAGAAAGGUCAACUGAUACUGCGGGGCUAGAGUGCAGAAGGGGCAACUGGAAUUCUCGGUGUAGCGGUGAAAUGCGUAGAUAUCGAGAGGAACACCUGCGGCGAAGGCGGGUUGCUGGGCUGACACUGACGCUGAACUGCGAAAGCUAGGGGAGCGAACGGG
rnacentral:rRNA from 1 species